rnacentral:rRNA from 1 species
UACAGGGGGGGCAAGCGUUGUUCGGAAUUACUGGGCGUAAAGGGUCUGUAGGUGGCUUGCUAAGUCAGACGUGAAAUCCCUCAGCUUAACUGGGGAACUGCGUCUGAUACUGGCGAGCUUGAGUGCAGGAGAGGAACGCGGAAUUCCAGGUGUAGCGGUGAAAUGCGUAGAUAUCUGGAGGAACACCGGUGGCGAAAGCGGCUUCCUGGUCCAGCAUCGACGUUCAGGCACGAAAGCGUGGGGAGCAAACAGG